rnacentral:rRNA from 2 species
CCUGGCUCAGGAUGAACGCUGGCGGCGUGCCUAAUACAUGCAAGUCGAGCGAACUGAUUAGAAGCUUGCUUCUAUGACGUUAGCGGCGGACGGGUGAGUAACACGUGGGCAACCUGCCUGUAAGACUGGGAUAACUUCGGGAAACCGAAGCUAAUACCGGAUAGGAUCUUCUCCUUCAUGGGGGAUGAUUGAAAGAUGGUUUCGGCUAUCACUUACAGAUGGGCCCGCGGUGCAUUAGCUAGUUGGUGAGGUAACGGCUCACCAAGGCAACGAUGCAUAGCCGACCUGAGAGGGUGAUCGGCCACACUGGGACUGAGACACGGCCCAGACUCCUACGGGAGGCAGCAGUAGGGAUCUUCCGCAAUGGACGAAAGUCUGACGGAGCAACGCCGCGUGAGUGAGAGGCUUUCGGGUCGUAAAACUCUGUUG